GUUAUCAGUAAGUUUAACUGUAAGUCUUAGGGGAAAACAUAUUUCAAGAACCCCUUUAAGGCUUCUAUCAAUUCUUGUUUUUGUCUUUGCUGGAAUUUAUGCUGGUAUGUCACUUGUUGCGGUUGUUCUUGAUAAAGAGGUAACGAUAAAGAUAGGUUUAGAUGUUUUGUGCUUUGUAGGAGCAUGUUUAGUGUUAUUGUGCACCUAUAAGGGGCUGCAGCAUGAUGAGGAGAUAGAUGAAAAUGGUCUUUAUGCUCCGUUAGAUGGUGGUGUCAAUGGAAUUAGUAAAAGCACUGAUUCUGUUGGCUUAGUCACUCCUUUUGCUAAGGCUGGGUUUCUUAAUGUAAUGUCGUUUUGGUGGAUGAAUCCACUGAUGAAGAAGGGGAAACAGAAAACACUUGAGGAUGAAGACAUACCUGAAUUGCGUGAGGCUGAUCGUGCUGAAUCAUGUUAUUUAAUGUUUUUGGAGCUACUGAACAAACAGAAACAAGUUGAUCCCUCUUCCCAACCUUCCAUUUUGAAGGCAAUUGUGUUGUGCCACCGGAAGGAGCUAAUUGUGUCAGGACUCUUUGCGCUACUGAAAGUAACUACUCUGUCUGCUGGUCCUCUGCUACUUAAUGCAUUCAUUAAGGUUGCUGAAGGAGAUACUGCUUUUAAAAAUGAAGGGUUUUUAUUGGUUAUUCUGCUUUUUAUAUCAAAGAACUUGGAAUCCUU
rnacentral:misc_RNA from 1 species